AGGACGAACGCUGGCGGCGUGCUUAACACAUGCAAGUCGAACGAGGCCCUACCUUCGGGUAGGUGACCUAGUGGCGAACGGGUGAGUAACACGUGGGCAACCUACCCUCAGCUCUGGGAUAACCCCGGGAAACCGGAGCUAAUACCGGAUAUGACCUGGAACGACAUCGUUCUUGGUGGAAAGUUUUUCGGCUGAGGAUGGGCCCGCGGCCUAUCAGCUUGUUGGUGGGGUAAUGGCCCACCAAGGCGACGACGGGUAG
rnacentral:rRNA from 1 species